rnacentral:rRNA from 1 species
UACGGAGGGAGCUAGCGUUAUUCGGAAUUACUGGGCGUAAAGCGCACGUAGGCGGCUUUGUAAGUUAGAGGUGAAAGCCUGGAGCUCAACUCCAGAAUUGCCUUUAAGACUGCAUCGCUUGAAUCCAGGAGAGGUGAGUGGAAUUCCGAGUGUAGAGGUGAAAUUCGUAGAUAUUCGGAAGAACACCAGUGGCGAAGGCGGCUCACUGGACUGGUAUUGACGCUGAGGUGCGAAAGCGUGGGGAACAAACAGG